AGUGAAUAGAUACCCGGGUAGUCCCAGCUGUAAACCGAUGCAGACUCGGUGAUGAAUUGGCUUAAUUGCUAAAUUCAGUGCCGCAGGGAAGCCGUUAAGUUUGCCGCCUGGGGAGUACGGUCGCAAGACUGAAACUUAAAGGAAUUGGCGGGGGUAGCACCACAAGGGGUGAAGCCUGCGGUUCAAUUGGAGUCAACGCCGGAAAUCUUACCGGGGGUCGACAGCAGAGUGAAGGUCAAGCUGAAGACUUUACCAGACAAGCUGAGAGGAGGUGCAUGGCCGUCGCCAGCUCGUGCCGUGAGGUGUCCUGUUAAGUCAGGUAACGAGCGAGAUCCCUGCCUCUAGUUGCUACCAUUAUUCUCAGGAGUAGUGGAGCU
rnacentral:rRNA from 1 species